GUGAUUUUAGAUGAUUUGAAUUCAGGCGUAUUGAGGUUGUCAGGCGGCCUCAUUAAAAACCUGGCAAAAUGAUUUAAAUGCCGAAUAUCCAAUGGCAAUGGCUGCUUAAUUAACAGCCACGUUUCAUUAGUCUUACCUGCGAGGUUAAUGAAACGACGACUAGCAGGUUAGUUCAGUCUCUUUGGUAGGUGGGGACCGAAUGAACCCUUAAACCUAGCUGGUUAUCGGAAACCCUGUCUAUUGGGGCUCUGGAUGACGAGAUUUAAAAAAUAGACUAUGUACGUAGAAGCCUAUGUUGAAAUGUCUAGGGACGCGGGUUCAAUUCCCGCCGCCUCCACCA
rnacentral:tmRNA from 1 species